CAGCAGCCACGGUAAUACGUAGGUGGCAAGCGUUGUCCGGAAUUAUUGGGCGUAAAGGGCUCGCAGGCGGUUUCUUAAGUCUGAUGUGAAAGCCCCCGGCUCAACCGGGGAGGGUCAUUGGAAACUGGGAAACUUGAGUGCAGAAGAGGAGAGUGGAAUUCCACGUGUAGCGGUGAAAUGCGUAGAGAUGUGGAGGAACACCAGUGGCGAAGGCGACUCUCUGGUCUGUAACUGACGCUGAGGAGCGAAAGCGUGGGGAGCGAACAGGAUUAGAUACCCGCGUAGUCCCUAUCUCUUAUAC
rnacentral:rRNA from 1 species